rnacentral:misc_RNA from 1 species
AUCUGAACGACUUCAUUUUUAUAUCGACUUCCACCAGGUCUUUUCUUGCGCACUGCUCUCGCUCGCAUCCGUGUACUGACCGGAUCGCUGGUGACCCCUAAAAACAACUGUGGUUUUUGUGUUUUCUUAAAUCCCUGAGAUAUGUUGCUGUUCUUGAUUUGCUGAGAUACUUUGCUGUUCAACGAAGUAUAUUACCGGGACAUUUUCUUGAUUUUGUGGAAGUUUCUCAUGAAGUUGAAUGAGGUUUA